rnacentral:rRNA from 1 species
CAGUCGCCACGGGAAUACGUAGGUGGCGAGCGUUGUCCGGAUUUAUUGGGCGUAAAGGGAGUGUAGGCGGUCCUUUAAGUCUGAUGUGAAAGCCCACGGCUCAACCGUGGAGGGUCAUUGGAAACUGGGAGACUUGAGUGCAGAAGAGGAGAGCGGAAUUCCAUGUGUAGCGGUGAAAUGUGUAGAGAUGUGGAGGAACACCAGUGGCGAAGGCGACUCUCUGGUCUGUAACUGACGCUGAGGAGCGAAAGCGUGGGGAGCGAACAGGAUUAGAUACCCGGGUAGUCCCUGUCUCUUAUAC